GAUUCUGGCUCAGGAUGAACGCUAGCUACAGGCUUAACACAUGCAAGUCGAGGGGCAGCAUGGGAUUAGCUUGCUAAUCCUGAUGGCGACCGGCGCACGGGUGAGUAACGCGUAUCCAACCUUCCCCCUACUCAGGCAUAGCCCGGUGAAAACCGGAUUAACUCCUGAUAGUUUCACUAGAUGGCAUCUGACGGUGAAUAAAGCUUUGCGGUAAGGGAUGGGGAUGCGUCUGAUUAGCUUGUUGGCGGGGUAACGGCCCACCAAGGCGACGAUCAGUAGGGGUUCUGAGAGGAAGGUCCCCCCACAUUGGAACUGAGACACGGUCCAAACUCCUACGGGAGGCAGCAGUGAGGAAUAUUGGUCAAUGGGCGCGAGCCUGAACCAGCCAAGUAGCGUGCAGGAAGACGGCCCUAUGGGUUGUAAACUGCUUUUGUGCGGGAAUAAAGUCAGGGACGUGUCCCUGUUUGCAUGUACCGCAAGAAUAAGGACCGGCUAAUUCCGUGCCAGCAGCCGC
rnacentral:rRNA from 1 species